UAAAAGACUAUUUUUAAAAUCAAAUAAAAUUAUAUAAUUAAUUAAAAUAAUAAAAUUUAAUUUGGAUGGUCAUAAUCAAAAUGAAUAAAUAAAUGUAUUAUAAAAAAUAAAGAAAGAGAAAAUUAAACCAUAAAGACCAUAAAAAACAUUAAUUGCUAUGCUUCCCCUGAACAACUAGUGCAUAAGGGGUCUGCUACUGGUAUGUAAAUACUUAAUAAUAGGUGCAUAAGGUUCUCACAUACCAGUUUAUAACUGAUAUGAACAUAAUGAGUUUUCAAUAUUUUUGUUGACAAAAAUUACUCAAAUAAGCUACAAAAAUUCAGAUUCCUUAUUUAUACUAAUACCGAAUUGAUUAUAAACAUCUCAAAUUCAAUUUUAAAUCAAGAAAUUAGAUUUAAAUGAUCAUUUUCCAUAAAAGAAUUAGAUUAAACAAAGAAAUCAAUUAACUCUAUCAAAACUAGUAAGAAAAUAAAAAUACUUUUGGUUUAGAGUAGAUAAGGCACUAAGUUUAUAUCUUUAAGUUCGAUCAUUAUUUCUGAGUUUGAAAACUUUUUAAAUCUAAACACAUACGAGUUGUAUUCUCUUAUUCUUAUAAAUCAAAGCAUAUAAACCAUAAAUAUAAAUAAUAAGAUGAUUUGAUGCUCUCAGUUUGUGAUGUUAUUCAUACCUUUUAGUUGAUUCUCAAAUUGAUUCUUGUUGGUUGAUUGUCCAAGACUCAACCACUCCUUCAGAUCAAGGAUUUUUAGCCCUAAUCUCUCAUCCUAUUUUGUUUCCUUUUUUUGUUGUCUUUUCUUUUUCUUUUUUAACAUUCACGCUCUGCCCCUCUAAUUAUUCACGCUUACUCCUUAUAUUUUGUUGUGAUUUUUCUCUUUUAGCGUUGAUUCCCCCUUAUCUAUCCUUUCUCCUAGUUUUUAGCCUUCCAAAUGAUAAGACUCUCCACUUUUAACUCCUUGUGACUCCUCUUCUCUCCUCAAUCCUUAUCUCUUCCUUUUUUUCUCUGAAGUUCCUCGUGGUUUCACAGAUAUUGAUGUUUGUUCUUUAUGUGGCCUAACAAGGGAGAUUUUGAAGCAUGCUUUUUGAGAUUUCUCUUGUGCUCAGGAGAUUUGGAUUGCGUUAUUAUCACCCUCAUCUUUGGCUUUAUUUCAGAAUAUGCCAGUGAAAAGAUUGGUUACUAAAUGCUGGAAGGUUGGAUUUUGCUAAUUUUCUACUCCUCUCACCUUUUUCACUUUUUUCUAUUGUUUAUGGUGGAUAUGCAAGUGGCGUAACGAUUUCAUUUUUGAGGGAAG
rnacentral:lncRNA from 1 species